UCCGGUUUUUCACCGGCAGUCCCCUGUGAGUGCCCACCCGAAGUGCUGGCAACACAGUGUAGGGGUUGCGCUCGUUGCGGGACUUAACCCAACAUCUCACGACACGAGCUGACGACAACCAUGCACCACCUGUCACUCUGCCCCGAAGGGAAACCAUGUUUCCAUGGUGAUCAGAGGAUGUCAAGCCCUGGUAAGGUUCUUCGCGUUGCAUCGAAUUAAGCCACAUGCUCCACCGCUUGUGCGGGCCCCCGUCAAUUCCUUUGAGUUUCAUUCUUGCGAACGUACUCCCCAGGUGGCAUGCUUACUGCGUUAACUGCGUCACUGCCCCCGAAGGGGCAACAACUAGCAUGCAUCGUUUACAGCGUGGACUAC
rnacentral:misc_RNA from 1 species